rnacentral:rRNA from 1 species
GAGGGGUAUAUAUCUUCGGGUAUAGAGACCGGCGCACGGGUGCGUAACGCGUAUGCAAUCUACCUUUUACAGAGGGAUAGCCCAGAGAAAUUUGGAUUAAUACCUCAUAGUAUAGCAAUCUCGCAUGAGAUCACUAUUAAAGUCACAACGGUAAAAGAUGAGCAUGCGUCCCAUUAGCUAGUUGGUAAGGUAACGGCUUACCAAGGCUACGAUGGGUAGGGGUCCUGAGAGGGAGAUCCCCCACACUGGUACUGAGACACGGACCAGACUCCUACGGGAGGCAGCAGUGAGGAAUAUUGGACAAUGGGCGCAAGCCUGAUCCAGCCAUGCCGCGUGCAGGAUGACGGUCCUAUGGAUUGUAAACUGCUUUUGUACGAGAAGAAACACCCCGACGUGUCGGGACUUGACGGUAUCGUAAGAAUAAGGAUCGGCUAACUCCGUG